AGGGUUUGAUUCUGGCUCAGAACGUACGCUGGCGGCACGCCUAACACAUGCAAGUCGAACGAAGUAGCAAUACUUAGUGGCAGACGGGUGAGUAACAUGUAGGUAUCUUCCCUUUGGCCUGGAAUAACACGAGGAAACUUGUGCUAAUACCGGAUAAGUCUUUACGGAGAAAGCUUUAUGCACCAUUGGAUGAGCCUGCACUUGAUUAGUUUGUUGGUAGGGUAAUGGCCUACCAAGACUAUGAUCAAUAGCUGAUUUGAGAGGAUGAUCAGCCACAUUGGGACUGAGACACGGCCCAAACUCCUACGGGAGGCAGCAGUGGGGAAUAUUGCACAAUGGAGGAAACUCUGAUGCAGCGAUGCCGCGUGAGUGAAGAAGGCCCUUGGGUUGUAAAGCUCUUUCGUCGGGGAAGAAAAUGACUGUACCCGAAUAAGAAGGUCCGGCUAACUUCGUGCCAGCAGCCGCGGUAAUACGAAGGGACCUAGCGUAGUUCGGAAUUACUGGGCUUAAAGAGUUCGUAGGUGGUUGAAAAAGUUGGUGGUGAAAUCCCAGAGCUUAACUCUGGAACUGCCAUCAAAACUUUUCAGCUAGAGUAUGAUAGAGGAAAGCAGAAUUUCUAGUGUAGAGGUGAAAUUCGUAGAUAUUAGAAAGAAUACCAAUUGCGAAGGCAGCUUUCUGGAUCAUUACUGACACCGAGGAACGAAAGCAUGGGUAGCGAAGAGGAUUAGAUACCCUCGUAGUCCAUGCCGUAAACGAUGUGUGUUAGACGUUGGAAAUUUAUUUUCAGUGUCGCAGCGAAAGCGAUAAACACACCGCCUGGGGAGUACGACCGCAAGGUUAAAACUCAAAUGAAUUGACGGGGACCCGCACAAGUAGUGGAGCAUGUGGUUUAAUUCGAAGAUACGCGCAGAACCUUACCAACACUUGACAUGUUCGUCGCGACUUUAAGAGAUUAAAGUUUUCGGUUCGGCCGGACGAAACACAGGUGCUGCAUGGCUGUCGUCAGCUCGUGUCGUGAGAUGUUGGGUUAAGUCCCGCAACGAGCGCAACCCUCACUUUUAGUUGCCAUCAUUAAGUUGGGCACUCUGAAAGAACUGCCAGUGAUAAGCUGGAGGAAGGUGGGGAUGACGUCAAGUCCUCAUGGCCCUUACGUGUUGGGCUACACACGUGCUACAAUGGUAUCUACAACAGGAAGCAAGACGGCGACGUUAAGCAAAUCCUUAAAAGAUACCUCAGUUCGGAUUGCACUCUGCAACUCGAGUGCAUGAAGCUGGAAUUACUAGUAAUCGUGGAUCAGCGUGCCACGGUGAAUGCGUUCCCGGGUCUUGUACACACCGCCCGUCACACCAUGGGAGUUGGUUCUACCUUAAGGCAAGGUUUAAAACCCUUGACCACGGUAUAGUCAGCGACUGGGGUGAAGUCGUAACAAGGGAGCC
rnacentral:rRNA from 1 species